AACGAACGCUGGCGGCAGGCUUAACACAUGCAAGUCGAGCGCGUAGCAAUACGAGCGGCAGACGGGUGAGUAACGCGUGGGAAUCUACCGAGCCCUAAGGAAUAGCUCCGGGAAACUGGAAUUAAUACCUUAUACGCCCUUUGGGGGAAAGAUUUAUCGGGGUUUGAUGAGCCCGCGUUGGAUUAGCUAGUUGGUGGGGUAAAGGCCUACCAAGGCGACGAUCCAUAGCUGGUCUGAGAGGAUGAUCAGCCACAUUGGGACUGAGACACGGCCCAAACUCCUACGGGAGGCAGCAGUGGGGAAUAUUGGACAAUGGGCGCAAGCCUGAUCCAGCCAUGCCGCGUGAGUGAUGAAGGCCCUAGGGUUGUAAAGCUCUUUCACCGGUGAAGAUAAUGACGGUAACCGGAGAAGAAGCCCCGGCUAACUUCGUGCCAGCCGCCGCCGUAA
rnacentral:rRNA from 1 species